UGUGCUCUCUGCCCUCUUCGAGUUCACAGCCUAGUGGCUGGGACUGAGGGGGGCGGGGGCGGGCAAGUGAAGGAGGCAUAUGCAUACACCCUUGAUGGAUAAAACAGAAUAAAACAUGUUUUCGACAGAGGCACACGGAAAAGGCCAAGAGGGAAGAGGAGCAAUUAAUUCUCCAAAAAGUUCAAGACAGCCUUCGUGGAUAUAGUGACAUUUGAACAAGACCUUGAAGAAGCAUUUCAGGAGGAAGAAAGAAGGAAGUUGACUUAGGUUGGGAUCUCUGGGACCAGACUUUGGAAUGGAGAAAUGCAUGCAGAAGCUUCAGUGAGACGUACGGAAAUGAAGAAGGCAGGAAUGGGCAGACAGAGAAGUUGGCUGGAAACCUGAUGGCCCCUGCAGCCUCUGUCUUUCCUGUGGGAGGCAAGGUCAUGUGAGGACAUAGUGAGAGAUGGCCAUCUGGAAGCCAGAAACUAAAUCGUUUCAUAUGCUGAACUUGAACUUCCCAGUCUCCAGAACCAACUACUCUUAGGAUCUCCAGAUGCAAGAUGAAAUUAUUGGUGAACACCAUCACGAGGCACACCAGGACAACACCCAUGAGGGGAGGACCAGGCCUCUGACCAAGUCAAGAUCAGUGUAUUUCGAAGUAUCAUGGACUCCCUGUUCCGGCCCUUCAAUGCCUUCAUCUCCAUGACCAACUUCCAGGAGCUGUCGGCCUGUGUCUUCAGCUGGAUUGAAGAGCACUGCAAGCCACAGGCCAUGGGAGAUCGUGACUGGCGUCUAGCACCAAUUGAAAAACCAGCUUUACUGACCAGUUCUUGUAAAUCUGCAGAACAGCAAACAAGAGGCCCCUGAGUCUCCAUUUUGCCACUGAGCACUGGACCCAUGAGAUUGUACUGCAACAGCUCACCUUGGUCAGAUUGUUUAGCUUGGUGUUUGUGUUUUUUCAGCCCCAUUGUAUCUUCAGCAGGGCUGGGGUGUUUGUUUUGUGAAAGCUUUUGAUUAAUUUGCUAUAUUGACCAUAAAACUCAAACUUACCCAAUCCUUCCCCUCCCCAUGGAAGUCCUUGGGAUGGGAGUCUGCCCUUGACACCCCAAAGAGCUCAUGGCUUCUCAGCCCUUUCUCCAAGCCUCAGAUUUCUGCUCAUGAUCUACAUAUAUUUGGAAACUGUUUGCCUCUGUUUUGGUCUCUUGGGCAACAUUUCGCCUAAGUUUGGCCAUUUUGGCAGUA